AUAGAAAAGAAUAUUCAAAACUCUGGCUGAAAACCCUAGCUCUAGAGAGAGAGGGGGGGAGAGAGAAAGGGAGAGAUAACUUUGCAGAAAAUCAAGGAAAUUCAGAGAAAAUCAAGAGAAAAUACAGAAAAUUCAGAGGGGAACUGAGACUAAGUUGAAGAAGCUGAAAAUCAAGGUAGUCCGGGCUGUGCUGGUUGAUAUUGACAUCAAUGAAUUUGUAGGGAGGCAGAGGCUGGUUGGUGACUUUCUUGUGGAGGUAAUGCACGAUGAGUUCAUUAUCAGUAGGGCAGAACCUAUAUCCAACAGGCACUGAGUCAGGAAAUAAUUGUUGUUGCUGCUGAGUCUGCCUUGUAAUGCACGAAAGGGCUAUGGUGUUUUGAUCUCUGACUACAGAUUUCUGGGUAACUGCAGUAGCCUGGUUGCAUUUCAUCUGGGGGUUUUGCAGAUGAUCAUCCAUAUUUUGAAAUUUUAAAUGACCAUGCAUGAAUGAAAUGAAUCUUUAAUAUGCUGAGUAUUGAAGAUGGUGAAUCUUCAAUGAGCUAGAUGCAAGAAGCAAAUGAAUCUUUGAUAUGCUGAGGAUGCAAGAAGGAAAUCAAUCUUUAAUGUGCUAAGAGGCAAGAAGGAGAUGAAUUUUUAAUAGGGAAUGAAUCUUUAAUAUGCUAAGAUGCAAGAAGGAAAUCAAUCUUCAACUGAAUAUUGAAAUGAAUCUUUACUGAUAAGGCAGUGGCAAUUAGACGACUCCUCAUCAGCUAAAUUUGGAAGCUCCAAAAAUAUGAUUAAUGGUGUUAGUAUGUUAGACAAAAGCAUUCUUAACUCAUAAGAAGAUGAGUGAAUAAUUUUGUUGAAUAGUUCAUCAUUUACAAAUAAGUACUUGAACCAAACAUAUAUCUACAUAAGAUGUAAUUAAUUUGCAAGAACCCACAUUACAAAAUUAAUUGAAGCCAUUGUCUUGAUCAAGGUUGCUAUUAAUUUCAAAUCCUUUUUCUU